rnacentral:lncRNA from 1 species
AGUGUGAGAUGACGGGACCAGAGCACGUUCCUGGCUGCAGAGGCCACAAGUCACGCUGUCUCUGAGAGCCACGGUGGCCUCAUCUCUCUGCCAUAAACUUGCCAAUUAUCCUGCUGCUGCCUCAUUGACUUCGCACCCACUCUUCCCUCUGGAACAGAGGACACUCUCGCCAGCUCUCCCCAUGGCGGAUCCUUGUCUAGGUGGAAUGUCACCAUCGCCCAGGUGGGGAUUUUUGUGUGUUUUGUUCACUGCUGUACACCCAGCCCCCAGCACAGCGCCUGUCCAGGACAAGUGCCCAGUAAACACUUGGGAAGCAAUGCAAGCGUCCUCCCAGCAGCUCCUGCAAACAGACCCCCGACCCAAGCCCUUCCUUCUGCCUCCACUGCCACCACUGCUGCUCAUCUCUGCUGGCACAGAAGUCUCUUCCCUGGUCUUCCAGAAAUCCCCUCUCCACACUCAGCCAGAGGGAGCUAUUAAAACUGUGGGCCAGCCCACAUCAGUCCACAGCAAAGUCCUCUCUAAGGGAUCUCUGUUGCUUGGAGAAUAAACCCUCGGAUUCCUUCCUUGGCUCUCGGGGCCUCCUCUCUGACCUCCCUCUGUCUCCUCUCCCAGCCUUCCUCCUCACUCACCCUCCAGCCAUGCUGGCUUCCUCCUUGCUCCUGAAACAGCCUGAGGCCCACACUGCCCCGGGCCCUUUGCACUGGCUGUUUCCUCUGCCUGGAACACUUCUCCUAGGCAUCCACAGGGCUCCCUCCCACAACUCCUUCGGGUGCCCACAUGGGAAGCCAUCCCUGACCACCCCCCCGACUUCCUUCUGAGCAAGGUAGGGUCUUUCUACCUAGUCAUGAGGGCAGGGAUUUUUGUCUGUUGUGUUCUCUGUGUGCCCCCAGUGCCAUCCCAGUGCCUGGCAGAUGGUAAGUGCUCGACACACAUUGGCUGACUGCCUGAAUGAACAACUCUAUGAGCCGAUGGCAGAUAAGGACACUGAGGUCCUCUGGGGUAGGUGACCAGCCCAAGGCCACACAGCUGGUCUGAGAUUAGGCCAGGAGAGGAGCCCGGGUUGGUCACAUCCUGGAGUUGGCGUCUUGGAAACUGCAUCAGGAGAAUAACAAAGAUGAGACGCAGGCUCUAACAAGUGGAUACCAGUGACUCUCGCCCCGCCAGCCCCAGCCCUGCAGCCUUGGGCCCUUCCAGGAGUCAUGGUCUGCCUGCCUGGGGCAUUCCAGGCUUCGACCCAGGUCCUGCACUUUCUAUUUUGAGCCUCUUAGUCCUGAGGACUGUGUGUUCCCAGCAGGCGGCGCGGGCCAGAGGCUGAGCCUGGGUGUGGCUGUCACCCUAUCUGGGGCCAGAGACCCAGAUUCCCGGGCCCUUAACCUGUUGGCUGCUGAGGGCUCUGGCAUAAGCCCUGUUCCCUGCUUGAUUGUCUCCCCUUCAAGCCCCUGCCCUGGUAUCGUAUCGGCCCAUCUCACCUUGGAUUAUAUCCCUGUUUGGCCCCAUUUGAAUCCUGGCUCUGCCCCUUUCCAGCAAUGUGACCUUGGGCAAGUCACUUCAUCUCUCUGGGUCUCAGUUUCUUCAUCUGGGAAAUGGGGACAAUAAGAGUACCUGUCUCUGGCCAUGUGUGGUGACUCAUGCCUGUAACCCCAGCGCUUUGGGAAGCCGAGGCGAGAGAAUUGCUUGAGACCAGGAGUUUGAGAUCAGCCCUGGGCAACAUAGUGAGACCCCUGUCUCUACAAAAUUCUAAAAAAAUUAGCCGGGUGUGGUGGUGUGUGCCUGUAGUCCCAGCUAUUCUAGAGGCUGAGGCGGGAGGAUUGCUUGAGCCCAGGAGUUUGAGGCUGCAGUGAGCUAUGAUUAUGCCCCUGCACAUCAGCCUGGGUGAUAGAUUGAGGCCCCAUCUCUAAAAAUAACAAUACUAAUAAUAAAUAAAAAUGAAAAUGAGUACCUGUCUUCUGGGGUUGCAGAGGAGAUUCAAUGUGAUGAAAUUGAUGAGAGUGCCCUGCAGGGAGCCGGAAACUCAGGGAGCAUCGAUAAUGAGUCCCCCACCAUCAGCAGCUGGCUUAAAUAUAAAAACUGUCAUGGCCUCUGGAGAAAUGACAAGAAUUCGAAGGAGCUUCCCUGCACUGGCCACCCUACACCCUACACCCUUACUUCCUCCCCUCAACUUGCCUGGAUUUAUCGACCCCCACUACCCCACUGGUUGCCUUCUCUCCACCUGGCACAUUUCGUAUGAAUUUGCUUGUUGGUUCUUGCCUAUCUCCCCAGUAGAACAUUAGCUCCUUCAGGACAGGGACUUUUGUCUACCUUAUGCACCUAGUGCAAUGCCUGGCACACAGUCGGUGCUUAAUAAAUGUUUCUUAAAAGAACCAAUAAAUGAAUAGUGACCUCUCCGGGGAGAGGAGCCCUGAGCUCACCUCCUGCCCCCAGCCCAGGGCUCUUAGGUGCUUGUUGGUGUCAGGCCCAGGCCCCCCUCUCAUCAAGCAGCCAAUAAAACUGCCCUGGUUGGCGUUCUCAUUUCACAGAUGGAGAGACUGAGCCCAGAGAGGGAGAGUCACCUGUCUGAUGUCACACAGAGGUCAGCAUCUGGGCUGGGAUUCCAGCCCAGGACCAUGUGGGGUGGGGGGCAGUGGAUCAAUCUUUUCCUGGAGGGAGUCAAUGGUGAUGGUGGGAAUGGGUCAGGGGUGCUGGCAAGGAGGGUCCAAGGCCCCCAGGAGGGAGGGAGGCAUGGGAGAUGAGUUUGUCCCUCUUGAGUUCUGUCUCUCUCUGUGUCUCUCUGUUUCUGCCUCUUUCUGUCUCCUUGUAUUUCUCAGUCCCUGUCUUCGUCUAUACCUCUUUCUCUCUUCCUUGUGUAUCUGACCCACUGCCCAGGAGGGGAUGCAGGCAGAGACCCCUGGCUUGGGUCCUGGAGUUGGGGCCCACGAGGGGAUUGACAUCUGGGGUUGAGCUGGGAAUCUGAAGCCAGACCCUGCAGCCAGGGACAGCAUUCCAGUCUCGGCUCCACACUCCAGGGAUAGCCUUGGAACGCCAGGCAGUUCAGAGAGCCUGAGGUCUGGUCUUGGAGACCUGGGUUCCAAUCCCAGCUUUGCCACAUUCCAGCCAUGUGGCCUUGGGCCCUUAGCCUUUGUUCCUGUAAAAUGGGACCACUGAGAGCCCGAUCUCAGGGUUUUAUGAGGAGGAACGAUGAGAGGGCUGUGCUGGGCUUCCUGAAGCCCUGUGUGGCCUGGAAAGCACUCAAUAGAUGAUAACUCAGUGUAAUGAUUUCUUCUAGCAGAUGGGGAAAGCGAGAGUUAAAGAGGCCCGAUCAUUUCACUCACUCAUUCCUCAAACGUUAUUAAGCACCUGCUAUGCACCAGGUGCUUUGUUUUGUAUCCAUUAACUCAGGGUUCAGCAAACUACAGCCUCCAGGCCAAAUCUGGUUCACAGCCUGUUUUUAUAAAUAAAGUUUUAUUGGCACACAGUAUGCCCAUUCAUUUACAUAUUGUCCACAGCUGCCUUUACCCUACAACUGCAAUGUUGAGCAGUUGUGAGAGAGACCUUAAAACCCACAAAGCUGAACAUAUGAACUCUCUGGACAUUUACAGUAAAGUUUGCUAAUCCCUGGAUUAGCCCAUUACAACCCUGGAGGAAGGACAUGUCAUAAGCUUGAUUUUAUGGAUUAGGAACUGAGGUCCGAGCGCAGUGUCUGCCACAAGGUUGGGUCUCCAUACGUAAUAUCUGGGUCUUAUUCCUCCUCUUCUGCCCCAUGGGGAGCUGCCAACUCCUGUUCCCUUUCCCUAUCCUGCAUGGAUCAUAAGUGGAUAAUUUGAAUCCCGCAGAGGAAGGAAUGCUGUUUGAAGGUCAGGUCAAUGGAAAGAGUCCUAUUUUCAGGUCAAUUUGGACCUUGCCAAAGCCUCUUCCUUCUGGUGACCUUAGCUGAGAGGUCUGCCACUAGCAGGUGCUUCAUGAACAGUUGCUGAACAAGUGGUGUGCAUCAUGCUCCCGCUGUGAACUUCAGCUUGCUUGAAGGCGGAUUCCUCCAGGUAAUUGCAGGAGACCCCACGGCCGGCCACACACCACCGUUGGGAUGAAAGAUGGCCUCGAGCCAUCGGUGGGAGAACACCCUGGGCAGGGAGAUGCUUUCUAGAGCUCCACGGAAGUGGGGGAGGGGAUCUCACUGCCCGCCAAGCAUGCCCUGGAGUCUUUGUCCCUUCCUCCCUCAUGCUGGAGGCCUGCAGGUACCUGGCUUGAGACGUUGCCUGGCCCUCAAAACACCCAGGUUCCCCCCAAGCUCCUCCCCAGCCUCCUCCCUGCUGACCUUGGGGAGCUCCCGGUUUGCCCUCAGCCCUUUUCUGGAGGCCCCAGAAUCACCAAGAGGUAAUCCUGCCUGCUGCCUGGAGGAGGCGAUGUGGGAGACUCAGGAACCUGGGGUGUCCCCCAGCCAGGGGGCGGGCGUUGUGAUCCGGCGCUGCUGAGCACUGCAGUGCCUUCCCUGAUGGCCUUGUGUGCCGCUCCCUGACCCUCCCGUAGAGCAGCCUUCCCAUACUGCUGGGUGACACUUGCGUAAAUCAUUUCACCUCUUGGCUCUGUAAAACGGGACUGGGGUGGUCCCUACCCCUUCAGGGUGUCGUGAG